UACGAAGGGUGCAAGCGUUACUCGGAAUUACUGGGCGUAAAGCGUGCGUAGGCGGUUCGUUAAGUCUGAUGUGAAAGCCCUGGGCUCAACCUGGGAAUGGCAUUGGAAACUGGCGAGCUAGAGUGCGGUAGAGGGUAGUGGAAUUCCCGGUGUAGCAGUGAAAUGCGUAGAGAUCGGGAGGAACAUCCGUGGCGAAGGCGACUACCUGGACCAGCACUGACGCUGAGGCGCGAAAGCGUGGGGAGCAAACAGG
rnacentral:rRNA from 1 species